rnacentral:misc_RNA from 1 species
UCCUGCUUGGCGCAGGCAGUUCCUCUAGAGUGCCCAACUAAAUGCUGGCAACUAGAAGCGAGGGUUGCGCUCGUUGCGGGACUUAACCCAACAUCUCACGACACGAGCUGACGACAGCCAUGCAGCACCUCGACUAAUGUCCCUUGCGGGAAAAACGACUUUCGCCGCCUGUCAUUAGCCGUUCGAGCCCAGGUAAGGUUCUUCGCGUUGCGUCGAAUUAAACCACAUACUCCACUGCUUGUGCGGGCCCCCGUCAAUUCCUUUGAGUUUCAACCUUGCGAUUGUACUUCCCAGGUGGAAUACUUAAUGCGUUAGCUUGGAUACUGAUCUUAAAAAAGACCAACAUCUAGUAUUCAUCGUUUAGGGUGUGGACUAC